rnacentral:rRNA from 1 species
AAAAGAAACCACCCGGGAUUGCCUCAGUAACGGCGAGUGAAGCGGCAAAAGCUCAAAUUUGAAAUCUGGCGUCUUCGGCGUCCGAGUUGUAAUUUGAAGAAGGUAACUUUGGGGCUGGUCCUUGUCUAUGUUCCUUGGAACAGGACGUCAUAGAGGGUGAGAAUCCCGUGUGGCGAGGAUCCCAGUCCUUUGUAAAGUGCUUUCGACGAGUCGAGUUGUUUGGGAAUGCAGCUCUAAGUGGGUGGUAAAUUCCAUCUAAAGCUAAAUAUUGGCGAGAGACCGAUAGCGAACAAGUACAGUGAUGGAAAGAUGAAAAGAACUUUGAAAAGAGAGUGAAAAAGUACGUGAAAUUGUUGAAAGGGAAGGGCAUUUGAUCAGACAUGGCGUUUGCUUCGGCUUUCGCUGGGCCAGCAUCAGUUUUGGCGGUUGGAUAAAUCCUCGGGAAUGUGGCUCUACUUGUAGAGUGUUAUAGCCCGUGGGAAUACAGCCAGCUGGGACUGAGGACUGCGACUUUUGUCAAGGAUGCUGGCGUAAUGGUUAUAUGCCGCCCGUCUUGAAACACGGACCAAGGAGUCUAACGUCUAUGCGAGUGU